rnacentral:rRNA from 1 species
UUUGGUAGCUGACAGCUAGCUUUUUGCAACUCUCACAUGUUCACCCACUGAAGCUCAGCAGGGCUGUACCUGGUCAGUACCUGGAUUGGAGAUCACAUGGGAAAGCUAGGCUGCUGCUGAAA